CGACGACGACGGGUCAAGCUGAUGCCUCAACUGCUGGGGAGGAUGAACGGUCUCGUUGGUCUACGACCUCAGGUCCUCGGUCUGCGGUGGCAGCUGCUGCUGAGGAUGCUGUGACCUCCACGGAUGAUGAUGCACGUCGGGUGACUGCUACUGGUCCUCAUCAAUCCUCCUAGGGUCCGUCCUCCGGACGCGGAGCAAGCUAGACAU
rnacentral:rRNA from 1 species